CCCUUAGAUGUCCUGGGCCGCACGCGCGUUACACUGAUGCAUUCAACGAGCCUAUAACCUUGGCCGAGAGGCCUGGGCAAUCUUGUUAACGUGCAUCGUGAUAGGGAUAGAUUAUUGAAAUUAUUAAUCUUGAACGAGGAAUUCCUAGUAAACGCAGAUCAUCAAUCUGCAUUGAUUACGUCCCUGCCCUUUGUACACACCGCCCGUCGCACCUACCGAUUGGGUGAGCCGAUGAAACUCUCGGAUGUAGGCUAUUCAUAGCCCGCAGAAGAGAUUUGAAUCGUAGCGCUUAGAGGAAGGAGAAGUCGUAACA
rnacentral:rRNA from 1 species